rnacentral:rRNA from 1 species
UGGGGAAUUUUGGACAAUGGGGGAAACCCUGAUCCAGCCAUCCCGCGUGUGCGAUGAAGGCCUUCGGGUUGUAAAGCACUUUUGGCAGGAAAGAAACGUCAUGGGUUAAUACCCCGUGAAACUGACGGUACCUGCAGAAUAAGCACCGGCUAACUACGUGCCAGCAGCCGCGGUAAUACGUAGGGUGCAAGCGUUAAUCGGAGUUACUGGGCGUAAAGCGUGCGCAGGCGGUUCGGAAAGAAAGAUGUGAAAUCCCAGAGCUCAACUUUGGAACUGCAUUUUUAACUACCGGGCUAGAGUGUGUCAGAGGGAGGUGGAAUUCCGCGUGUAGCAGUGAAAUGCGUAGAUAUGCGGAGGAACACCGAUGGCGAAGGCAGCCUCCUGGGAUAACACUGACGCUCAUGCACGAAAGCGUGGGGAGCAAACAGG